AAAAAUAUUUUACAUCAAUUUGAAAUUAUUGGUAAAUCAUUUACAUCUUCUUUUUAUGAUAAAGUGAAAUGUUCUUUUAUUACAUAUCCAUUUAAUUUAUAUUAUUGGUUUGUUUUAAAUCCUGGUAAACCAUUUGUUGAAGCAAUCAGUGAAACAGGUAUGAUUAAAAAAACUGAUCUAUUUCCUAAAACAGAUCAACAAAAAGAAAAAGAAGAAAUUGAAAAAGAUGAAAAAAUAGUCGACAAUUUAUUUAAAUUAUAUGAAACUGGUGAAAAACAAUAUGAAGAAGAUGGUAGUGAUAGAAUGUCAUUAGAAUCAACUAGUGUUGGUAGUAGAUCACGAAGUAGUAGUGUAAGUAGUUAUGAAACUGUUCCUGAUGAAGAAGAGGGCGCUUCGUAUGAAUCAGCUAAAGAGGAAGCUAGUGCAGAGACAUCUUCCAUUGAAAGUAUAGAUAGUGAUAAUUUUACAGAUGUACCUGAAACACAAAAAUUAGAAGAUUAUAGUAUACCCAAAGCUCCAUUAAGCACACAAGACUCUACUACUUUGGAUAGUACAAGAAUACAAGAACAGGUACCACAAAAAAAAGCAGAUAUUGGUGAUAUAACAAGAAUUGCUGCAUCUAGACCAGCACAAAUCAUGACUCCAAUAACAUUACCCAUUGUUGAACAAGAAGGUUUAUAUGCACAAGAUAAUAACGGUUUUAUCAGACAAAAUAAUGGAAACAAUGACGAAAGCAGAGGUGACAAAGGUGGACGCACACCUAUAUUUAGUUUAAGAAACAGAAGUUCUAGUGCAUCAUUUAUAACUGUUAAACAACAUAGUAUUAUGGAUAAAGUAUCAAAAACAGUAAAUGAAUCUAACAAAUUUAUAAAAAAUAAAAAUUUUAGUUUUGUUCAAAAGAAAAUUGAAAAUAACUUAAAAUUUGAUUCUAACCUAAUUGAUGUUAAACGUAAUCCUGAAUUUACAGCUUCGUUCGGAUAUUUUGACAGACCUUAUAAUAUGUAUGUAUCACAAACAGGAAUUUAUCGAAACUUUCAAUUGGUUUUACAAAUAGUACAUACAUUCAUGUCUUUAAACAGAUUUUCUGUUGUUAGUCCAGUAGAUAUUAUUAAAAAAGGUAUUGAAAUAUUGUCAACAGAAACUGAUUCUAUACAAGUAAACGAAUAUAAUCCAUUUCUUUAUAAAACAAUAUUAGAUAUAAAUGAAGUAAUACAAAACGAAAAAUUAGAAAGUAGCAGAUUACGAUUGCAUAAAUUAGGUAAUUUAUUUGUAGCAUAUAAAUCAAUCGAAUUCCAAUUAUUUAAUAGCUUUGAAAUUUUUCCAACAUUAAAAAGAUUAAAUAGGUCAGAAUUGUUAUAUAUUUUAAAAGUAAUAAAACAAGGGUAUUCUUAUCAUUUACAAAAAGUUCUAAAUAAAUUAAAGCAGAAAAGAAAAUUCCCAUACAGCAUAAGAAAAGCUUUGGCAACGAUGAAUGAAUAUAAAGAAUUGUUUGAUGAAGAAAUGUUAAAAAAAUUCAGUGAGUUAAUUAUACAAUCACUUAAAUGUACAGAUGUAAAUGAGUUAAACAAGCUUUUAGAAGAUUUUAAAAAUAUAAUAUUUGAUUAUGAAGUAAAAAAAACAUUAGAAGAUACUAAUAAUAUUGAUGUAAUGAAAACAAUCAUAAAUAAUACACCGAUAAUAAAAUUCUAUCAAGAAAAGCUUGAAAAAACAUAUAAAGGUAAUGUUGAGAAACCCGAAACUGUAAAAACAACAAUAGAAUUAGAAAAAGU
ensembl:lncRNA